GACGAACGCUGGCGGCGCGCUUAACACAUGCCAGUCGAACGGAAAGGCCUGCUUUCCCUUGUGGAUUGCGGGUACUCGAGUGGCGAACGGGUGAGUAACACGUGAGUGAUCUGCCCCCAACUUGGGUAUAAGCCUGGGAAACUGGGUCUAAUUCCCGAUAGGACUGCAGGGUGGUGCCUGUGGUGGAAAACGAUUUUCUAGUGGUUGGGGAUGAGCUCGCGGCCUAUCAGCUUGUUGGUGGGGUAAUGGCCUACCAAGGCGGCGACGGGUAGCCGGUCUGAGAGGGUGGACGGCCACAUUGGGACUGAGAUACGGCCCAGACUCCUACGGGAGGCAGCAGUGGGGAAUAUUGCACAAUGGGCGGAAGCCUGAUGCAGCGACGCCGCGUGGGGGAUGACGGCCUUCGGGUUGUAAACUCCUUUCGACCGCGAGGAAGCCACCUGGUUGGAAGGGUGGUGACGGUAGUGGUAGAAGAAGCACCGGCUAACUACGUG
rnacentral:rRNA from 1 species